rnacentral:rRNA from 1 species
AAUCAACGCUGGCGGCGUGCCUCAGACAUGCAAGUCGAACGAUUAAAGCUCUCUUCGGAGAGUGUAUAGAGUGGCGCACGGGUGAGUAACACGUAAGUAAUCUACCUUCGAGUGGGGAAUACCGUCCGGAAACGGACGCUAAUACCGCAUAAUGCAGCGGCAUCGUAAGAUGACAGUUGUUAAAGAUUUUAUCGCUUGAAGAGGAGCUUGCGGCAGAUUAGCUAGUUGGUAAGGUAAUGGCUUACCAAGGCUACGAUCUGUAACCGGUCUUAGAGGACGGUCGGGUCACACUGACACUGAAUAACGGGUCGGACUCCUACGGGAGGCAGCAGUCGGGAAUUUUGGGCAAUGGGCGAAAGCCUGACCCAGCAACGCCGCGUGAAGGAUGAAGUAUUUCGGUAUGUAAACUUCGAAAGAAUAGGAAGAAUAAAUGACGGUACUAUUUAUAAGGUCCGGCUAACUACGUGCCAGCAGCAGCCGCAGU